GUGUCAGCAGCCGCGGUAAUACGAGGGGGGCAAGCGUUGUUCGGAAUUAUUGGGCGUAAAGGGUGCGUAGGUGGUUCGGCAAGUCUUGUGUGAAAUCUUCAGGCUCAACUUGAAGUCUGCACAAGAAACUGCCGGGCUUGAGUAUGGGAGAGGUGAGUGGAAUUUCCGGUGUAGCGGUGAAAUGCGUAGAUAUCGGAAGGAACACCUGUGGCGAAAGCGGCUCACUGGACCAUUACUGACACUGAGGCACGAAAGCUAGGGGAGCAAACAGGAUUAGAAACCCCAGUAGUCC
rnacentral:rRNA from 1 species